rnacentral:lncRNA from 1 species
UGACGACUCCAUUCGACCCCCAUGGUUUUCGCCUGCUUUUUCUCUAAUUAACCCCAUAUUUCUAAUUAAUAAGAUAAACCUUUUGUACUGAUUUUUUUUAUCCUUUGAUGGGAAAUUUGCCAAUAUUUGAUUACAAAAUAUGACCAAAGUAUUGGCUUGUGCAGAUAACAGAAACGAGUCUUCUACACUUUGCAUGAUUUUAUUGUACAAGUUGAGUAAAUUAUUAUGAAAAAAAUUCGUUUAAUGAUUUUACAUGGCUCCCAAACAAUUGUACUCUUUACUUCCACCACGUCCAC